AAGCAAUGAAAAACCGGUAGUCAACCCCCGCAUUAAUUUUUAAGUUGUUGUUUUGAAUUCUAUUAAAAAAAAAUCAAAACAUGGAAAAUUAAAGUAGUAUAGCAAUAAGUUUUGUAUUGCUAUGGCAUCUGUGUAUUGUACAUCGAAGUUAGAGUGAUUUUCAGCAAUAAGAAAUUUGACAACAAAUGCAAGCAUUAGGAGAAAUUUUUUUGGAAAGUGCUGUUUAUGAAAAAAGAUUUAAAAAAGAGAAGUUGUGCAAAGGAGCAAGGAACUUAGACGUUAAAGUACUUACACACAAACUAAUCUCAAUAUACUACAAGAAUUAAUAACAAAAAUAACUUUCAGAAGAUUACCAAUACAAUCUUCCUGCCAUCUUCAAAAUAUUUGAAAAAUUAAUUUACUGUGGAUGAGUGAAAUAAAAACGUUUUUUAAGAAGAAUUUUUACUACAUUUAUAAAGUGUUGCUUUAUAAGGCAUAAAAUUGACAGUAAUUUUUUGUUUGACAAUUGCUGUUUUCACAAUUUUUUUAAACUCAAUUACUUUUGAUUCAAUUAAAUUUAUUAGAAAGUAAAAAACAGUUUUAGACUUCAACGAUUGAAAUUAUUUUUCGUUGAAGAAACUGACAUUGCUCUAGCAUAAAUUGAGAUCGACCUGAUGAAAGAUGAUAUUAUUUAUAUAUGUGAUAAUUAAUAAAAGACAAUUAGUUUUUAAAUAAUCAGAUGAAUGCUGGCCUUUAUUAUAUGGCUGGUUGUGUAAUUAUAUUUUGUGCAUAGUUAAUGUAACAAUAUCAGUCUCUUUGUUCCAAAAUUAAAAUUUAUGUUUCGCAUAGUAAAUUUGGUUUUCUUACUCUUUUGCAUUUCCUUCUUUUUUGUUAAAUAUUGUUUUGUAAAAUUUAUUGUCUCUCUAAUAUAAUAUGAAUGUGCAGCCAAUAUUUUUUAAUUCGCA